rnacentral:tRNA from 1 species
UAUCUUUAAGUGUUUAGCACGUAAAUUUUUGAUAUUUAAAGGGGAUUAUCCAAAGAUAA